rnacentral:rRNA from 1 species
UACGAAGGGGGCUAGCGUUGUUCGGAAUCACUGGGCGUAAAGCGCACGCAGGCGGAUUGAUAAGUCAGGGGUGAAAUCCCGGGGCUCAACCUCGGAAUUGCCUUUGAUACUGUCUAUCUCGAGUUCGGGAGAGGUUGGCGGAAUUCCUAGUGUAGAGGUGAAAUUCGUAGAUAUUAGGAAGAACACCAGUGGCGAAGGCGGCUCACUGGCCCGGUACUGACGCUGAGGCGCGAAAGCGUGGGGAGCAAACAGG